CAGGGCUUGGAAGCAAUGGAAUCCCGGAAGUAUGGAACACACACAUCACCCAGAUCCUGACUUCUAAUACCAGUCUCUAAAGAAAGGAACAAGACCUCCUGGCAGAUACUGUGGAUUCUAGGGCUGGGCAGGGCAUAUAGGAGAAGAGCCUGGCAUGUCUCAUAGUGCCAGAAUUGGACAUUUUCCCUACUAUGAAGCACAAGCAAGCAAAAUUGUGUUUUCAACAGGCAAUAUCUGUGCAUUGCCUCUUGUUGAGGGCACCCAAAACUACGUUGAACCAGCAGAGGGAAGAUGUCAGGGAAAGGCCGUGUCCUGGUGGAGGAUGAGGAACAGAGCUGGGACCAGCGAGGUGAAGGGUCUCACUGAGGUCAUUCAACUACAAAUGCCAGAGCAGGAGUGGAGGCCAAGUCCCCAGGCUCCAAUUCAUGACCUCAAAGUGAAAAGAUCUCCUGAGACAGAUAACAGUUCUCAUUUAAGGAAGAAUUAAAAAUAAAACCUCUCAGUGCUUUAAGACUGUGUUUCCACUAGGCAGUUUAUUGUACCCUGUAGA